AGAUGACAGUUCCUCCUAUUGCUCAGUCCUGGCAAGCAGGAUUUUAGGUCAUCGCGGGUUUAACUUGGUCUUUUUCACUUGGGGUAAUGAGGCAGCAGGGGUGCCAGUCUAUCGCGAAUUUUGCGGGACCAGACAAUG